rnacentral:rRNA from 1 species
UACAGAGGUCCCAAGCGUUGUUCGGAUUCACUGGGCGUAAAGGGUGCGUAGGUGGUUGGGUAAGUCUGAUGUGAAAUCUCCGAGCUUAACUCGGAAACUGCAUCGGAUACUAUUCGGCUCGAGGGUUGGAGGGGGGACUGGAAUACUUGGUGUAGCAGUGAAAUGCGUAGAUAUCAAGUGGAACACCAGUGGCGAAGGCGAGUCCCUGGACAACUCCUGACACUGAGGCACGAAAGCUAGGGGAGCAAACAGG